GCGUCGUGCACAAGUUCAAAAUCGAAAGAGGCUUCAACCCAGAGCAGAGCGUUGUGCACGAUUUCGAAAUUGAAGGCGUUUUUUGAUCCCAAGUUUGAAAUCGAUGAAUUGAUGAAUGGGAUGUUGAAGGUGGAAAUCAGACCGCGUUCCCUUCGGAGAAUGUUGAUGGCAGUUCCUGUUAAGAGUUAAUGAAAGUACCUCGAGUGGAAUCUAAUUAAGCUCUGAGUUUUUUCCUUCAAGAUACGGUUCUCUUCCCAGAUCAGAAAUUCAGUCAAACUGAAAAGAGUUAUGCAGACAAUUCUUUCCCUAGGGAAUGCCUUGAACCAAGGGACAGCACAGGGUUCUUGCUGACCAACUACCAGAGGUUCUAGAGUUCUAUUAGGACCUAGCCAGCGUAGAGCCUGCAUCAAAGAUACAAUUGCAGGAUGGACCAAUUGCUCCACGACUUUGACUGCUCUGCCACCGCUCUAUUUUCUCUACCAAGAACCAUCAACAGUCGACUGAAAAUUAUUUCUACGAAGUGUCGACAAGAUUUCGUUUUUCUUCGAAGAGAAAGCUUUUGGGGAUGAUGGUAGCCUAAAGCAGCCAAAUGAACUUUCCAUUAAUAAAGUUGGACAUGCACUACAUGAGCUUGAUCCGAAAAUAAAAAAGUUCUCCUAUUCUAAGGAAGUCUCGCGUUUGUUAUCCUCCUUGGCAUAAAAAAGGCCCAUUCCCCUUCAGUCUAUGUAUAUCUUUAAGAGUGCCAAGGAGAACAGGGCCACCGGAGUAUUGGAUAAUUUCGAUGAGGGAGAAAAGUAUCCGGAAAAUAUGCCGAGGAAAUUUGUCUGCGGCAAGUCCCCGGAAAUCAGGCCAGGAAUCAACAGCUGCUUCACUGACCCAGCUAAAUGAUUGAAAUCAUAAUGAAAAGGGGAAUCAUCAGAGAUGGUGAUUCAAAAUUGCUUUUGGCAACUGGAACUGUAGUGGUUGUGUUAAAA